rnacentral:lncRNA from 1 species
CCGGCCCCGAGCGCCGGAGCCACGGCCGGGACACUCUGGAGGGUCCCGGGGGUCCCCACCGGGCACAGCCAGGCUCUGAAGGACCCCAAACAUUCACCUGGAAGGAGCCGAUGCGAUGGAGGGGGAUCAGCCCCACCUGAGCUCAGACAUGACCACCCCGUACCUGAGGAAGGCUCCCACCCCCCGUGGCCAUGAGGACGCCGACACCGCCGUCAUCGCAGGUGAGGCCGCGGCUGCUGCUCCGGCCCGGGGCCGCUGCGGUCGCUCCGGGCUGAGCCCUGGUGCCCUGUGCUUGUCCCGCAGUGGUGAUCACCCUGGUGUUCCUCACCUUGCUGACGGUGCUGGUGGUGAUCGGGAUUUACCUGUACCGGAACCAGGGCUCCUACCGCACCUACGAGCAGCCGGAGCCGGACGCGGCCCCGAGGGAGGAGGCUCCGGCCAAGGAGAAGGAGGAAUAUUUUAUCUAAGGACGCACCCGGGAUCCGCAUAGGUCCCGAAAUUCCCUGGAGCUGGGGGUCUACAUAAAUUUUUUCAGGAGUUAGGAUGCUGCCGGAAUUCCCUGGCAUCGGGGAUCUGCCCAAAUUUUCGGGAGUUGGGGAUCCACCUAAAUAUCCCGGAGUUGAGGAAUUUCUUGGAGGUGGGAGAUCUUAAGUUGGGAAUCUGCCUGAAUUCCCUGGAGUUGGGGCUCUACCCGAAUUUCCUGGCACUGGGGUUCUGCCUAAAUUCCCUGGAUUUGAGGAUCCACCUGAAUUUGAAACCUGCCUAAAUUCCCCGACAUUGAGGUUCUGCCUAAAGAUCCUGGAGCUGGGAUCUGCCUGAGUCUCCUGGAGUUUGUGAUCUACCUAAAUUCUCUGGACCUGGGGUUCUGCCUAAAGUUGAGGAUCUACUGGCUGAUUUUGCUUGGUUUGUUGUUUUUUUUUUUUCCUUAAUUUAUGAAGCCAACCAUGGAAGGAAUAUGUGGGUGCCUGAGGGCAGGAAAAACCCCAAAUACCCCCCAAAAAUAAUAACCCCGAAAGAGGAAGUUCCCAACCCAGCAGGAAAAAGGAAAGAAGUGAGGAAACCCCCAGCUAGCAGCAGCCAAAGAGGUUCUCAGAGGCCAAACAGAAAUUUGUUACUUCAUUUAAAUUUUCAAAAUAAUCUUUAUUUUAUUUUUGGUUUUUAGUAUAAAAACUCCACAAGUUCAGUGCAGCACAGAGAGUCCGAGAGCCGAGCUGGGGAACAGUCAGGGAUGGUCACACACACAGGACAUGGAUUCAGAUUAAAAUGAAAUAUUACAAUAAAAUAGAGUUGAAUCUGAGCUCUUUCUUCA